rnacentral:lncRNA from 1 species
UGAAAACUUCAAAAAAAUAUAUAUUUAUAACAUAUUUGUCACUAGUAUUAACAUAUAAUACCACUAUUACAUAGAUUAAAUUGCUAAAAAAGGUAGAAUCUUUAGCAAAUAAAGCAUAUCUGCAAUAUUAAUAAUAAUUCUUUAAACAGCCAUCUACCCCAAUUAGGAAAGGUACAAUAAUGAUGAACUAGAGUUUGAGGUUUUUUUUGGCUGCACCCAUGGCAUGUAGAAGUUCCAGGGCCAGGGCUCAAACCCAUGACACAGAAGUGACUGGAGCUACAGUGACCCAAGCCACAGCAGUGACAAUCCCAGAUCCUAACCCACUGUACCACCAGGGAACUCCCGAAGUUUUAAUUUUGAAGAGAAGGAAUUAAGCAGGAAGAGGAAGAGAGGAAUAAUAUUAAUAGGAGAGAGAGACAUGGUGAAAAUAUAACUCUUUGGGGGUUUUUUGUGUUUUUUUGUUUUUUGUUUUUUGUUUUUUUUUUUUUUAGAGCCACUCCCUCGGCACAUGGAGGUUCCCAGGCUAGAGGUCAAAUCAGAGCUAUAGCUGCCGGCCUAUGCCGCAGCCACCUCAAUGCAAGAACCGAGCCGCAUCUGCUACCUACACCACAGCUCACAGCAAUGCCAGAUCCUUAACCCACUGAGCAAGGCCAGGGAUCGAACCUGCAACCUCAUGGUUCCUAGUCGGAUUCGUUUCCACCACACCAUGAUGGGAACUCUGAAAAUAUAACUCUUUGGAAUACACCAUUCUAAGAGUUGUUUCUGGUAAUAUCAUAUACUACUGUUAUCCAUAAUAGGAUAAUAAAGAUGGGAAGAAUCAGCCAAAAACAAAACAAGAAUUAUCAAAGAAUGAGGGAGGCCAGUCCCAAAAUAAGAUUUCCAAGCCUAUAUUACUAGAUAAUUUAUUUGGGCCUGAAAAGUGGCCAUCAUGUGGCCAGGAAAUGUGAAACACCCAUUGUGUCUAUUCACUGACAGAAACAUGAUGCAGUUUCCAUAGAAACAUUCUGUGCCCCAUCUUUUUCAAAGAGCAGUCAGUAAAUAGUUAAUAACACUCAUUUUAACAAAAAAUUUACUGGUAAUAAAGGGAGUUACAAUAGAAACCUGUCCUCAACAUAGUUUACUAUGGAAGAUGAGACAAAUAUAAAUGAAACAAAAAGAUAACAUACCAUGUUAUUUCCUUUUGUCUUCAGAGAGUAUUAGUCAUUAAAACAAGUGGAACAAGAGAAUAGAGAAUUACACAAGUGAACAGUUCCUGGAGGUGAUUCCUACACACAGUGGAAUCAAGAGUCCUAAUCUUUGUGUCCACCUAGUAAAAGUAACAGUCAUCUCCAGAAGGGACAGGAGAGGUUGACACAUGAAUAUGGAAAACAGAAUUUCCAAAUUAGGGAAGCCAUGUUUCAGUGCAAAUUACUCUACAGCACCGCUCACCCCCAACAAUGCCUUUAGAAGAAUGGAAAGCGUGAUUCUGCUGAUUGUUGGAGAUAUUUUUUCCCCAAGUCGCUUAAAAAAAUUUGUAGAGUUAUAAUUUACAUAUAAUUCACUCCCUUCAACUGUACAAUUCAACGAUUUUUAGUAUACUUAAAGAGCUGUGCAACUAUCUUAUCACAUCAUUCUAAGAGGCAUAGAGUUUUAAGUGUUUGGAAAAUCACUGAAAAAUUGGGUCUUGCGACUUCAACUCUUACAGUAACUAACUCUGAAUUUCUUUCUUUCCUUUUUUAUCCUCAAGGCAAAAUACGGUGCUGACACUUUAUACUUACUGGAUUGAAUCGAAAGCGUUUAAAAAGUUCCUUUUGAGGAAGUAAUUUACAUAAAGUGUUGAAAAUAAGGCAGCUUCUGAGAACUAAAAGGGUAAAAUCCAUACUUAAUAAAUUAGCUGGUUGUGGGAGCAAUCUAUAAAACUGUCUGUGGAUGUGUAACUGAGGAGUUUAGAAACACUCCAAGGCUCCAAUUAAGAUGAGGAUAUAAUCUCAGGAGCCAAAACCGAAGUGGUUACAAUCAGGUUAGCAGAAAUCAAUUCAACUGUCUAGCAACUGUUUAGAGAAAGAAGAUAAGACUACAGAAAGAGAAUUGCCAAUCUUGACCCAGUAUUAUUCAGGGAACAGAGAGACAAAAUCCAGAGGGUGUGAUCCUGUUGAGGGGCAGGGAUCAUUUAUCAGGUCUCACCAAGACCUGAAUCAACUCUCUCUCAAAACAAUUCACUCCCUUUUCUUUUGAUUCCUCAUUUACUAAGAAACUGCCUGAUUUGCUUUCUAGACCUGCCAAAAGUUUUCUUGGUAUGUCUGAAUAUCUGAAUAUCCUGGUUAUCAAAAAUGAAUUGCCUAGGAGUUCCUAUCGUGGGGCAGUGGAAAUGAAUCCGACUAAGAACCAUGAGGUUGCGGGUUGGAUCCCUGGCCUCACUCAGUGGGUUACGGGUCCAGCGUUGCCUUAAGCUGUGGUAUAGGUCCCAGACACAGCUCGGAUCUGGCGCUGCUGUGACUCUGGCAUAGGCCAGGGGCAACUGCUCCAACGAGACUCCUAGCCUGGGAACCAGCCCCAAAAAAGACAAAAAAAAAGAAAAAGAAAAAGAAAAAGAAAAAGAAUUGCCUCACCCCGCCCCCAGCCCCAAACAAAUGAACAAAUGGUUUGGAUAUUUGUUGUCUUGCUUUUUACUCUUGUGGACCAAAACAUGCCAGUCUGGGACACUGACAGUAGAAGAUCACACCCUUAAAUGUAAUCAUUUUCAGCUAAUGUCAUCCUAGGAGAUCUGAUAAACAGCCGCCCAGACUUUUCCUGCUAGCUCCUGACCUUGUCAUAGACCCUAGAACCUAUAAUUUGGUGACAUUCAAAUAAAAUAAGAGAAGCUGAUAGAGAAAUAAGAAUGUCCUAUUCACUGUAUACUAAAUUCUACCCGCAUACCUGAACAAAAUCAGAAAUGGCUGCAUUAAAUUGGACAAGAAUAAAUCGAAGCAAAUUCAUGGUUUUCUUAUUUUUCUGGAAUGAAGAUGCCUUGAAAUUAUAAGCACUUAUGUUUAAACUACUUUGGUUAUUAUCAACUUAAUAUUAAUCAACAGAAGACAAAUCUGAAUAACAACAAGUGAAUGGAGAAAGUUAGAACAGAAAGAAACUGUGCUCAGUAAACCUACUGAAUGUAAGAACCAACACAUUGUACACCUGCAAUUAAAAAAAAAAAAACCUCUCAUCUCUUCUGCUACUAACCAAAUAGGACUAAAUAAAUUUGUUGAAAUAGUGUCCCUUUUAGUCAGCUUCUCAUUUUAAAAAUUAUCAGUGUCUUCUUUUAAAUUGAAAGUUUGGUUUAAAAAUAUAUCAUUGAGGAGUUCCUGUUGUAGCUCAGCAGGUUAAGAAUCCGACUUGGGAGUUCCUGUCGUGGCACAGUGGUUAACGAAUCCGACUAGGAACUAUGAGCCUGGAAUCUUCCACAUGCCGCAGGAAGAAAAAAAAUAUCUAUCAUUGGAGGAUGAUCUAAAAGACAAAAAAACUGUGCGAUACCCAGUUUUGAAAACCAUCAGAUUUCAAGGACUACUACUAAAGAUCUUCUGUGAAUCUGUUGAGCAGCAAAUUAAAUUUGCAUUUUGGGAUUACUGAGAACACUGUUAAAAUACAUGCAAUCGCCUUUUAGAACUGAAAACAUGACCUUCUGAAAAAUCUUUUUAAGGCACUUUGGAUCUUGAAUAUACUGUUUCCUUCUUUACUGUGACUGCCAUGAUGACUAGGGUCAAAUUUGUAAUCCAUCUUUAGAACUCACAAAUUUUUACUGCAGCCAUUUUGUGUAUUAACUUUAUCCAUGACUUCAUUUUAAUUUCCCCUUAUAUUCUCCGUGAUUUCUCCAUUCAAUUGCAAUAACGUUUUCUGGUAUCUCUGUAAACAGCAUCACAUCACUGGGGAGAGGGAUUGAUGCGAAUAAAUAAAAAUGAAGAAAAUCAUCCUCUCAAUCAGGGUGCAGACCUGUUUCAGCAUAUUUAUGACAGGGUUUUUUUUUUAAUUUGAAUUCACCAUUAAUAUUUUAAAAUCCCAGUAUUUCAUAUAAAAAUCCAGAUUUCAGAUGGCUCCGUGGCAAAAUGUAACAAGUUCUUAUCUCCCUGGACCAACAUGCUGGCGAGAUGAGUCCUUAAGCCGCCACUUCGGUCUCCAGUGGUCACAGAAAUCCUCACACAUCCACUUUGCUCAUUCAUAUUACCUGAGAGAUUUGCUAAUGAGUUCCAAAAAAGGAAGGAACGUCAGGAUUCUGCAAUACAAACAGGAGGGCGCGCGUCUUUUUCGUUCUUUGAAAGACGUUGUAGAAAUAACAGACACAAUUCAUUCUGCAAACCUUCACUGGACCUCUCCGCUGCGCUGGGCCCUGGCGAUAGGUGAUUUAAAAAAGAAGCAGAGGUCUGGGUCCUGGUUGGCUGAUGCCGCCAGGAAUUACCGCCACGAGCACAAGGAGCGUUGAACU